GCAACCAAUACAAAAUCGUAUUAUACAGCGCAUUAAGAAACUGACUCAUCUUUCGAGUACCCCCUCCGCACUAUAAAAAAGAAAAAAAGAAGCAAGAAGCAAAAAUAAGGGGAAGAAAAAAAAAAAUACACUCCUUUCAUGAGGCUUUACGUCUCAGCUGACUCAUUCCAGGCUUUGUAAAAUCUGAGAACCAUUACAGUUCCUGACAUUACCUUUUGUUGAGAGUCUCUUAUACUUCAUUUUCUGGCUUUUGAGGCGGAGGUGUGGCAGCAGG
rnacentral:misc_RNA from 1 species